AGAAAAAAGAGAGGUGGUUUCAUCUGAAAGGUUUAAGACUGAGCAGCCUUAGCCGAGUCCCGCUGACUUGCUAUUCUUAUGUUUGAGGUGUGGGUUUCCCCACUCGCCUCAUUCCGCCGCUUUCACCUCUGCUGAGGGUGCCUUGCUCCGGUUUCCACCGCACAGUCAAAUCCUGUGCGGGGCUUUGGCCGGCUCCCAGUGCCACAGGGGAACACUGUGCCACCUGGAAGACAUCCCAGCUGAUAUUCUGUUACAUCCCCUCUUGUCAAGCAAUUUCAGCCUAUUUUAAAUAGAAGGGAGAGCGUUCAGGUGUUGCUGCCACCCAGAGCAGACAAACUGCUGUGUUUCUGGUAAACAGGUCAGCCCGGAGCAAAAGGAACUACAAGCUCCACGCUGUAAAAACGAGGAAGAGAAGCAAAUUCAAAGGGUAGUAACAGGCCCUGGACCUGGAAAAUCGAACGUGAAGGUGAACCCCAGGUGGAUCGCUUCCUUGGCUGAAGUGUUCCCAUGGAGCUAAAAAACAGGGCUGCCUGCGCACCAGGAGGAGCCGGGAAGGAGAAGGGCAGGAGCAUUCACCUUCCA
rnacentral:lncRNA from 1 species